CGGAGAAGGGUAUAAUACGAAGGCUAUGUCAGCCGGGCGACGGUUGUCCCGGUUUAAGCAUGUAGGCGGAGGUUCCAGGUAAAUCCGGUACCUUGUUAACGCUGAGGUGUGAUGACGAGGCACUACGGUGCUGAAGUGAUAAAUGCCCUGCUUCCAGGAAAAGCCUCUAAGCAUCAGGUAACACGAAAUCGUACCCCAAACCGACACAGGUGGUCAGGUAGAGAAUACCAAGGCGCUUGAGAGAACUCGGGUGAAGGAACUAGGCAAAAUGGUGCCGUAACUUCGGGAGAAGGCACGCUGAUAUGUAGGUGAAGUCCCUGCGGACGGAGCUGAAAUCAGUCGAA
rnacentral:rRNA from 1 species